UGCUGAUAUGGCAGAUUUUAUAUUACUCCUUAGGAAUGAAAGUGGGAAGGUACUCGGUUGAAUUUUUUUUUCUUUUGGAAAGGUAGAAAGGACUAUCUCAUUCUUGACCAGUGCUCUGAGGACAACCAGGGAGAAAGGGAGAAAAGAACAGGAAAUAGAAGUCCACAAAAGCCCUGGGAAACAUCUCCUAUUUUGAGCUCCAUCUCAAAAUACUUGAUGAGCACAUGGAGAUUUAAAGACUGGAGCAGUCUUCUCAGCCAGAUUGGUUUUGGUCCACAGAUUUUAUGGGGCAAUAUCACUGGUGCAUCUAUGCUGUGGAUAUGACUGAAUCACAAAUGAUGGAAUUUGUUAUUAAGGUGAAAACAGGUAUGAGGAAUAUGAACAGCCUUGAAGGAGAAGCAGUUCAUCCUAGGGCAAACAGAAGAGCAGGACCUAGCACUAUACCUGAUACACAGCUCGAGAUCAGUAAAUUUUUUCAAGAAAGAAGGAAUGAAGGAUGGAAGGAAGGAAGAAA